GUAGGCUAUGGUGACAUGUGCCCAACCACCCCAGGGGGAAAGAUUGUGGGCACUCUGUGUGCCAUUGCAGGGGUCCUCACCAUUGCCCUCCCUGUGCCAGUCAUUGUCUCCAAC
rfam:Fukomys damarensis contig140032, whole genome shotgun sequence.